rnacentral:rRNA from 1 species
GACUACAGGGGUAUCUAAGCCCGUUCGCUCCCCACGCUUUCGCGCCUCAGCGUCAGUGACAGUCCAGAGGGCCGCCUUCGCCACCGGUGUUCUUCUCGAUAUCUACGCAUUUCACCGCUACACCGAGAAUUCCGCCCUCCUCUCCUGUACUCUAGCCGAGCGGUUUCCAGCGCAAUUCCUCAGUUAAGCCGAGGGAUUUCACACCGGACCUGCUCAGCCGCCUACGCGCCCUUUACGCCCAGUAAUUCCGAACAACGCUAGCCCCCCCCGUAUUACCGCGGCUGCUGGCACGGAGUUAGCCGGGGCUUCCUUUGGAGGUACCGUCAGAGCUUCGUCCCUCCCGACAGGGUUUUACGUUUCGAAAAACUUCAUCACCCACGCGGCGUCGCUGCGUCAGGCUUUCGCCCAUUGCGCAAGAUUCCCCACUGCAGCCCCCCGUAGG